CGACCAGAACUAUGUCUGGGAGUGGCACACUGCUCAGUAACACGUAGCUAACCUACCCUUAGGACGUGGAUACCCCCGAGAAAUUGGGGUUAAUCCGCGAUAGAUGUAAUGUCCUGGAAUGGUAUUACGUCUAAAGGUAUUUCAUACAUGUUUGAAAUAUGCCUAAGGAUGGGGCUGCGGCCGAUCAGGCUGUUGGUGAGGUAAUGGCUCACCAAACCUUUGACCGGUACGGGCCAUGAGAGUGGUAGCCCGGAGAUGGACACUGAGACAAGGGUCCAGGCCCUAAGGGGCGCAGCAACCGCGAAACCUCCACAAUGCACUCACGUGCGAUGGGGCUAUCUCGAGUGCCACCUGAUGAAGGUGGCUUUUCCUUGGUCUUCAAAGCCUUGGGAAUAAGAGGGGGGCAAGACUGGUGUCAGCCGCCGCGGUAACACCAGCCCCUCGAGGGGGGGGGGAUGAUUAUUUGGCCUAAAGCGUCCGUAGCCGGCCGUGAAAGUCUUCCGUUAAAUCCAGCGUCUCAAGCGUUGGACCGCGGGAGAUACUACAUGGCUAGAGAGUGGGAGAGGUCAGCGGUAUUCUGGGGGUAGGGGCGAAAUCCUUUGAUCCCCGGAGGACCACCAGUGGCGAAGGCUGCUGACUAGAACACGUCUGACGGUCAGGGACGAAAGCUGGGGUAGCGAACCGGAUUAGAUACCCGGGUAGUCCCAGCCGUAAACGAUGCAUGCUAGGUGUUGGGUUGGCCACGAGCCACCCCAGUGCCGCAGGGAAGCCGUUAAGCAUGCCGCCUGGGAAGUACGAUCGCAAGAUUGAAACCUAAAGGAAUUGGCGGGGGAGCACCACCAGGCGUGAAGCCUGCGGUUUAAUUGGAG
rnacentral:rRNA from 1 species